UAGGGAAUCUUCCACAAUGGGCGCAAGCCUGAUGGAGCAACACCGCGUGAGUGAAGAAGGGUUUCGGCUCGUAAAGCCCUGUUGUUAAGAAGAACACGUAUGAGAGUAACUGUUCAUACGUUGACGGUAUUUAACCAGAAAGUCACGGCUAACUACGUGCCAG
rnacentral:rRNA from 1 species